GACAAAUGCAGAGCAGCAUUUGAGCUGGCUUCCGGCUGAAUUGACAGGAUACAGCAAGGUAUCUCAAAGCAGUGUGCAACUCAUCCUUGCUUCUAUUGGGCCAGGGAUGUCUUUGAUUUAAAAAAAACCCUCUUGGAAGCACAUCGAAGUUGAGCCGUGGAAGCCAACAACGCCUCACUGUUCUCCCCCCUGCUGGAAGUACAAUUCGAACUCGGUCAGCAAAUACUUGACACCUCAAAGAACACGCCCUCAUGUUGUCUACCGUGAGCCGGAGAGGGAUCUUCCGCGGGCUAUCCAGGGACAUGUCAUCGUAAUGCUCCAGAACGGGGGUCCCAAGGAAGUCCAGUCGCUCCCUUCGCUGCCCCCACAAGCUGUCGUGGUGGAAAAGGGGAUUCCAAGAGUCUGCUUCUGACAAGCAAGAGGGGCAUGUCUCUGGUGGCAUCACAUCUAAUCCCGAAGGAGCUGCGACUGGUUCAGAAGUUUGCCAGGAAAACCAAAAGCUCUUGGUCUGAUGCAGUUUCUGAAGACACAACCCACGUUAUCAUGAAAACUGAUGAGGAUCUAGUGUGUGAGCGGACUCCCUAAAGAGAAUACUUCCUGGAGUAUAGCAGCAGCGCUUGAAAUGGGUGAGUGAGCCACCACUGGGUGCUGCAGUCACUUUCAGAAGGAAGGAAGGGUGCUAA